AAAUAAGAAACAAUAUAUUGUAUUUAGUUUCGACCUAAAACUUAGGCAUAAAGCCCUUAUUUA
rnacentral:tRNA from 1 species